AUUGAACGCUGGCGGCAGGCCUAACACAUGCAAGUCGAACGAGUGGCGGACGGGUGAGUAAUGUCUGGGAAACUGCCUGAUGGAGGGGGAUAACUACUGGAAACGGUAGCUAAUACCGCAUACCAUCGGAUGUGCCCAGAUGGGAUUAGCUUGUGGGCGGGGUAACGGCUCACCAAGGCGACGAUCCCUAGCUGGUCUGAGAGGAUGACCAGUCACCCUGGAACUGAGACACGGUCCAGACUCCUACGGGAGGCAGCCGGGGGGAUUAUUGCACAAUGGGCGCAAGCCUGAUGCAGCCAUGCCGCGUGCAUUAAGAAGGCCUUCGUGUUGUAAAGUACUUUCAGCGGGGAGGCGUUACCCGCAGAAGAAGCACCGGCUAACUCCGUGCCAGCAGCCGCGGUAAUAC
rnacentral:rRNA from 1 species